rnacentral:tRNA from 1 species
GCCGGUGUAGCUCAAUCGGCAGAGCAGUCGACUUGUAAUCGACAGGUUGCCAGUUCAAGUCUGGCCGCCGGCUCCA